rnacentral:rRNA from 1 species
CCUACGGGAGGCAGCAGUGGGGAAUCUUGCGCAAUGGGCGAAAGCCUGACGCAGCAACGCCGCGUGCGGGAAGAAGGCUUUCGGGCUGUAAACCGCUUUCAGCAGGAACGAAAAUGACGGUACCUGCAGAAGAAGGAGCGGCCAACUAUGUGCCAGCAGCCGCGGUGAUACAUAGGCUUCAAGCGUUGUCCGGAUUUAUUGGGCGUAAAGAGUUCGUAGGCGGUCGAGUAAGUCGGGUGUGAAAAUUCUGGGCUCAACCCAGAGACGCCACCCGAUACUGCUUGACUUGAGUUCGAUAGGGGAGUGGGGAAUUCCUAGUGUAGCGGUGAAAUGCGCAGAUAUUAGGAGGAACACCGGUGGCGAAGGCGCCACUCUGGAUCGAUACUGACGCUGAGGAACGAAAGCAUGGGUAGCAAACAGGAUUAGAUACCCUGGUAGUCCAUGCCGUAAACGGUGGGCACUAGGUGUGGGUUUCUAUUAACGAAUUCCGCGCCGUCGCUAACGCAUUAAGUGCCCCGCCUGGGGAGUACGGUCGCAAGACUAAAAACUCAAAAUNAAUAGAGCGNGAGAGNGCGACGACGACACGAGGAGGAGG